AAUUUCGGGGUCAGUAGGUCGGUCGUGCCACUGGUAUGAACUGGUUUUACUGAUUCCUCCCUCUUGAAGAACUGUAAUGCCAUUAAUUUGGUGUUGCAGGGAAUCAGGACUGUUACUUUGAAAAAAUUAGAGUGUUUAAAGCAGGCUUUAGCUUGAAUACAUUAGCAUGGAAUAAUGAAAUAGGACGUUUGAUCCUAUUUUGUUGGUUUCUAGGAUUGACGUAAUGAUUAAUAGGGAUAGUUGGGGGCAUUAGUAUUCAAUUGUCAGAGGUGAAAUUCUUGGAUUUAUUGAAGACUAACUACUGCGAAGGCAUUUGCCAAGGAUGUUUUCAUUAAUCAAGAACGAAAGUUAGGGGAUCGGAGACGAUCAGAUACCGUCGUAGUCUUAACCAUAAACUAUGCC
rnacentral:rRNA from 1 species